AGCGAACGCUGGCGGCAGGCCUAACACAUGCAAGUCGAACGAACUCUUCGGAGUUAGUGGCGGACGGGUGAGUAACACGUGGGAACGUGCCUUUUGGUUCGGAAUAACUCAGGGAAACUUGUGCUAAUACCGAAUGUGCCCUUCGGGGGAAAGAUUUAUCGCCAUUAGAGCGGCCCGCGUCUGAUUAGCUAGUUGGUGAGGUAACGGCUCACCAAGGCGACGAUCAGUAGCUGGUCUGAGAGGACGACCAGCCACACUGGGACUGAGACACGGCCCAGACUCCUACGGGAGGCAGCAGUGGGGAAUCUUGCGCAACGGGCGAAAGCCUGACGCAGCCAUGCCGCGUGAAUGAUGAAGGUCUUAGGAUUGUAAAAUUCUUUCACCGGGGACGAUAAUGACGGUACCCGGAGAAGAAGCCCCGGCUAACUUCGUG
rnacentral:rRNA from 1 species